UACGGAGGGUGCAAGCGUUACUCGGAAUCACUGGGCGUAAAGGACGCGUAGGCGGAUUAUCAAGUCUUGUGUGAAAUCUAGUGGCUUAACCACUAAACUGCAUAGGAAACUGAUAGUCUAGAGUAGGGGAGAGGUAGAUGGAAUUCUUGGUGUAGGGGUAAAAUCCGUAGAGAUCAAGAGGAAUACUUAUUGCGAAGGCGAUCUACUAGAACCUAACUGACGCUGAGGCGUGAAAGCGUGGGUAGCAAACAGGAUUAGAUACCCCGGUAGUCCCUGA
rnacentral:rRNA from 1 species